UACGUAGGUGGCAAGCGUUGUCCGGAUUUACUGGGCGUAAAGAGCGCGCAGGCGGUCGUUCAAGUCGAGUGUGAAAGCCCCCGGCUCAACUGGGGAGGGUCACUCGAUACUGAUCGACUCGAAGGCAGAAGAGGGAAGCGGAAUUCCCGGUGUAGUGGUGAAAUGCGUAGAUAUCGGGAGGAACACCAGUGGCGAAGGCGGCUCUCUGGACCUGUCCUGACGCUCAGGCGCGAAAGCUAGGGGAGCGAACAGG
rnacentral:rRNA from 1 species